ACGAAACGCCCGCAGCGCUGAUGUUGUGUGACUCCUGCUCCACAGUAGCCGUGCUGAUGACGCUCUCGUCCUCUCGGAGUGACAACAGUGCCAGCAGUCAGCCGUGUGAGCCGCUGCAGACGCUGCCAUGUGCUCUGACGUGUUGACACAGAGCGACCAGCCAUUGAACCUGGAGCGGUUUAUCUCAGCCCAGCAGAUGGCACUGGAACACUGAAGCUGGAGCGACGCGUCUUUUACCUCUCUGUGUGUGAAAGAAGAAGGGGAUACAUCACCAUCAUGAGAUAUGUCAGCCCAACAUUUCCUCUCAAACUGGCCAACAGAUUGGUGGAAAUGAACGCCGCGCAUUAAAAGGAUGGAGGAGAGGAGCAAAUGUGGAAUCUUUGAAUAUGUUUAUUUAUAGAUUUGAACUUUACAUUUAGACAAAGUUCUAGCAAAAUGUGCACAAUACAAAAAAUAAUAAUAAUAAU